rnacentral:rRNA from 1 species
CAGUAGCCGCGGUAACACGUAGGUGGCAAGCGUUGUCCGGAAUUAUUGGGCGUAAAGGGCUCGCAGGCGGUUUCUUAAGUCUGAUGUGAAAGCCCCCGGCUCAACCGGGGAGGGUCAUUGGAAACUGGGAAACUUGAGUGCAGAAGAGGAGAGUGGAAUUCCACGUGUAGUGGUGAAAUGCGUAGAGAUGUGGAGGAACACCAGUGGCGAAGGCGACUCUCUGGUCUGUAACUGACGCUGAGGAGCGAAAGCGUGGGGAGCGAACAGGAUUAGAUACCCGGGUAGUCCCUGUCUUUAUACA